rnacentral:rRNA from 1 species
AGAUUGAACGCUGGCGGCAUGCCUAACACAUGCAAGUCGAACGGGAGUAGCAAUACUCUAGUGGCGGACGGGUGAGGAAUACGUAGGAAUUUGCCCUUAAGUGGGGGAUAACCCGGGGAAACCCGGAUUAAUACCGCAUGACCUCGAAAGAGCAAAGUGGGGGAUCGCAAGACCUCACGCUUUUGGAGAAGCCUACGUCGGAUUAGCUAGUUGGUGAGGUAAUGGCUCACCAAGGCGACGAUCCGU